ACACGACUCUCGGCAACGGAUAUCUUGGCUCUCGCAUCGAUGAAGAACGUAGCGAAAUGCGAUACCUGGUGUGAAUUGCAGAAUCCCGCGAACCAUCGAGUCUUUGAACGCAAGUUGCGCCCAAGGCCAUUCGGCCGAGGGCACGCCUGCCUGGGCGUCACGC
rnacentral:rRNA from 1 species